UAUAAUUUUCUGUGUGAGGCUUUGAUGUGUUCUGUCUUUUAGCCUCACUAUUGUUGUCAUAUUGUCAUAAUACUGAAUUCUUAUUCUCCUAUUAACUGAUGCCCCUUAUUUGACAGGACUGUUUACUUUUGUUGGUCUUAAGUUUCUGGCAAGGUACACAGACAAUUUUGACUUGGACCUUUCAGUGGAAGGACACAGAGACAAUUCAGUGAGUCUCCUCUGUGCAGGCUACCAAUGGAAUAAACAAAGAAUGGCCCUGUACAAGUCAGGUCAGCUCAGCCCAGACAAAAUGAAGUUGUGCAGACUGUGA
rnacentral:lncRNA from 1 species